UGCGGAAGGAUCAUUACCAUGAGAUGGAGCCCCAAAAGGGCCCCUACUCCCACCCUAUGUUGACUUUAAAUGUUGCUUUGGCGGACCGGUGGCUCCACUGCCGGUCGUCAACCGAGGCUCGAAACCUCGGGACUGGAGAGCGUCCGCCAGAGGCUCAAUUUUAAACUCUUUCAAUGGUGAAAUCUGAAGUCUUGAAGAAUUGAAUCAAAACUUUCAACAACGGAUCUCUUGGUUCUGGCAUCGAUGAAGAACGCAGCGAAAUGCGAUAAGUAAUGUGAAUUGCAGAAUUCAGUGAAUCAUCGAAUCUUUGAACGCACAUUGCGCCCUUUGGUAUUCCGAGGGGCACGCCUGUUCGAGCGUCAUUUAAACCAUCAAGCCCAGCUUGGUAUUGGACGCGGUCGAGUGACCCGUCUACAACCCGUUGGCGGUGCAGUCCGGCUUCGAGCGUAGCAGAAAUCCUCGCUCUAGGAGUCCGUGCGGCGCCCGCCAGGAAAUGGCCACCUUUUAAAGUUUGACCUCGGAUCAGGUGGGGAUACCCGCUGAACUUAAGCAUAU
rnacentral:rRNA from 1 species